rnacentral:rRNA from 1 species
AGUGAACGCUGGCGGUAGGCCUAACACAUGCAAGUCGAACGGCAGCACAGUAAGAGCUUGCUCUUACGGGUGGCGAGUGGCGGACGGGUGAGGAAUACAUCGGAAUCUACUUUUUCGUGGGGGAUAACGUAGGGAAACUUACGCUAAUACCGCAUACGACCUACGGGUGAAAGCAGGGGAUCUUCGGACCUUGCGCGAUUGAAUGAGCCGAUGUCGGAUUAGCUAGUUGGCGGGGCAAAGGCCCACCAGGGCGACGAUCCGUAGCUGGUCUGAGAGGAUGAUCAGCCACACUGGAACUGAGACACGGUCCAGACUCCUACGGGAGGCAGCAGUGGGGAAUAUUGGACAAUGGGCGCAAGCCUGAUCCAGCCAUACCGCGUGGGUGAAGAAGGCCUUCGGGUUGUAAAGCCCUUUUGUUGGGAAAGAAAAGCAGCAGGUUAAUACCCCGCUGUUCUGACGGUACCCAAAGAAUAAGCACCGGCUAACUUCGUG